UGACAUAGAGGGAAGAGAGUGUAUAUCUGGGUUUUUCCUUUCUUUUUUUUUAUUACGGUGUACAGUUUCUUUUUUGGUGGAUGUAAAGUGGAAAUUACACCAUUAAAAUCUUACAUUUAUCUAUAUCAUUAUCUCCAAUUUACCCACCUUAGAGGUGAACAAAACCAGAUAAAAGGAUUUCAAAAGGAAAAAGGAAGAAAGAAGAUUGAUUGAUUAUUUCAACUUUAAAUAAUUAAUCAUUUAAUAUUUACUUGAAUAUUGAGUUUGCGAA
rnacentral:lncRNA from 1 species